rnacentral:rRNA from 1 species
AUUGAACGCUGGCGGCAUGCCUUACACAUGCAAGUCGAACGGUAACGCGGGGCAACCUGGCGACGAGUGGCGAACGGGUGAGUAAUACAUCGGAACGUGCCCAGUAGUGGGGGAUAGCCCGGCGAAAGCCGGAUUAAUACCGCAUACGACCUACGGGUGAAAACAGGGGAUCGCAAGACCUUGCGCUAUUGGAGCGGCCG